AUGACGACAUCACCUUCGGUGGGGGUGUAUUCCAAAUCACUGGUGGAGUCUGGGACGGAUUCCGUUAGGCAGGAGCCUGGGCCGUUUAUUGCGCCAUCGCUGGAGGAGCUGCUGCAGCAGCUAUCCCUUGAGGAGCGGGUACGAUUGCAGAGCCACCUACGCGAGCACGAGCGCAAAGUGAAGCGAUGGAGUAAGUGCCCUACAGUACCUUCGGGCCCCUCAGAAAGAAAGCACGACACCACCAUCAUGCCUCACGUCCGCCACGCUCUCCACUAUUACAAUGCCAGGCACCCGGGUGACGAGUUUGAUGCUGUGAAGCCUCUGAUGGAAUCCAGAACUAGUUUCAGGAAACAGCUGUGGGCUCACGUCAACUUCUGGGCUCGCAGCCGCAAAAGCAACAAAAUCAAGCGCUUCUUCGCUGAGGUGCACUACAACCCAGAACCUAUCGUUGAAGUGUGCACUACAACCCAAAACCUAUCGUUGAAGUGUGCACCAUCAUCGGUAUGUAUCUAUGUCUGUAACCUCCUUUCUUAA
rnacentral:rRNA from 1 species